rnacentral:lncRNA from 1 species
CCUGCUUUGACAGACUCCUGGCCCGGGUGUGUUUGUUUUGGGCUGUGAUACUCACCAUCCUGUUCUUGAGCCCCAGAGAGACUCGGCUGAACCAGGUUCGCUCCUCUCAUCUGGACCUGCCAGCAGAGAGCUGACAGGUUGUAAAAGAAAGCAGGCUGAACAACACAUGGGGAAGAAGACACUAAGAAACACUCUUCCAUGGCAUCUGCAAGAGUUCCUGCCUCUACAUCCCUGCCUUGAGUCCUUGCCCUAACUUAUCUGGAUAACGGACUACAAGUUGUAAGAAGAAAUAAACCUUCCCCCUCAAGUUGAUUUGGUUAUGGUGUUUUAGUACAGCAAUAGAAACACUAAGA